rnacentral:rRNA from 1 species
UUAGAUACCCUGGUAGUCCAUGCCGUAAACGAUGAGUGCUAGGUGUUGGAGGGUUUCCGCCCUUCAGUGCCGGAGCUAACGCAUUAAGCACUCCGCCUGGGGAGUACGACCGCAAGGUUGAAACUCAAAGGAAUUGACGGGGGCCCGCACAAGCGGUGGAGCAUGUGGUUUAAUUCGAAGCUACGCGAAGAACCUUACCAGGUCUUGACAUCUUGCGCUAACCUUAGAGAUAAAGCGUUCCCUUCGGGGACGCAAUGACAGGUGGUGCAUGGUCGUCGUCAGCUCGUGUCGUGAGAUGUUGGGUUAAGUCCCGCAACGAGCGCAACCCUUGUUACUAGUUGCCAGCAUUAAGUUGGGCACUCUAGUGAGACUGCCGGUGACAAAUCGGA